GGUUAGUAAAAAUGACCAGAAUGAGAAUAAGAAUACUCCCAUAGAUGUCGAAGAUGAUUCACUGCCAUCAACUGUUAAGAGAAAGCUAACAUCUUCUAUUUGGAGUAAGUUCACAAAACUUAAGCUACCAGCUGGUUCAGAAAAAGCACGUUGUAGUCAAUGUAAAUGAUUGUUUACAUGUAAAAGUUCUAGUGGAACGAGUUACCUCAAGAGGCACAUCGGAACUUGUCCAAAACUUAUUCGUGAAGAAAGAGUCAAAGUACUCUAUCAUUUGGUGGAAAAUGCAAAGAUGUGAUUGCUUUGCUUUCUACACAUAAAUUUGACCAAGAGAUUAGCUGUAGAGAGCUCGACAAGAUGAUUAUAGUUCAUGAAUGUCCCUUUUUCAUGGUUGAACACAAUGCUUUAAAAUUUUUGUUUGAAGCCUCCAACCUCGAUUGAGGAUGGUGACACGAAAUACUAUUAAGUUAGAUUGCUUAAAAAUAUACGAAAUCGAAAAGCAAAAGCUCAAGGAAUUAUUAAAAACAAAUGGGCAACAUAUUAGUUUGACAUCUGACAUGUGGACCUCAAAUCAAACACUUGGUUACAUGUGUCUUACGACGCAUUUCAUUGAUAAUGAAUGGAAUUUAUACAAAUGUGUACUCAAUUUUUGUAUGGUUCCAUCACCAUAUGCAAGAAGAGCAAUAUCUGACUGAGCGGAAGCUGCAUGGGAAGGCUCAGGAAUAUCACGAACAUGAAAUCGCAUCAAGGCAUUAUAGGCAGUCCGAGAAAUAACAAAAGAAUCCUCAGGAGAUGUUUGCUCAACAAUAGGAGAAGAAGGUUGUCCCUCGGUAGUAUCUGUAGCAGUAAAAGAGGCUGUGGCAUGAGGACAACCAUGCAACUGCCAACAGUAAUCAACAGUGUGAUCGGUUCCACUGCAAUGAGAGCAUGAGCGAGAACUAUCACGACCUUGACCACAGGAGGAACAACCACUACAACCACGGUCGCUGUCUCAACCCCUACUACAACCACCUGAUCCAAAGUGAUGUAGGAUACAUGUAUGGAUGUCAUGUUUCACAGGAGAUUAUUCAAAUGACAAUUCAAAGCAUACAGAUCCUAGGACCUAUGAGUUAUGGGCCAAGCCCACUAAACAAUAAUUUCAGCAGAACAAUUUAUCAAACAGUAAUUUCAGCAAGUAAAAAUUCAUGUCAUUUCAUUAGAAAUCAUCCCCACAUGCACAGAAUCAUAUAAAGAUUAAAUCGCAGGAUGUCAAGGUUGUUAGAACUAGAGAACAACCCUUAGCACAGAAUAUCAACAAAAUACUCAUGGGCAGAUUCAUACACACAUAGAAUUUACCAUACUCAUUCAUCACAUAAACUAUGUUUAGAGGAAAUGAAGAUCACGUGGGAUAUGGGGUGGGAUAAAUCUGUAAUUUGGGAAUUGAGGGUUAUGGGAGGAAAUUGGGAGAGGGUCUAGGGUAGGUUUUAUGUGGGAGGGAGGGACAUAGGGUGUCGAGGUUUUGGGCGCAAUAGAUUGAAGGAUUUAGGCCAGAUAGGAUCAAAGAGGGUUUAUUUAUUUAUUU